GCUCAGGAUGAACGCUGGCGGCGUGCUUAACACAUGCAAGUCGAACGGACGAUGAAGAGCUUGCUUUUCAAAGUUAGUGGCGGACGGGUGAGUAACGCGUGGGUAACCUGCCUCAUACAGGGGGAUAGCAGCUGGAAACGGCUGAUAAAACCGCAUAAGCGCACAGCAUCGCAUGAUGCAGUGUGAAAAACUCCGGUGGUAUGAGAUGGACCCGCGUCUGAUUAGCUGGUUGGUGAGGUAACGGCCCACCAAGGCGACGAUCAGUAGCCGGCCUGAGAGGGUGACCGGCCACAUUGGGACUGAGACACGGCCCAAACUCCUACGGGAGGCAGCAGUA
rnacentral:rRNA from 1 species